rnacentral:rRNA from 1 species
AUGGUGGAAACUGAUGCAAGCGAUACUGGAGUGGGGGCAGUGCUGGUUCAGCAAGAGCAUCCCAUUGCAUUCAUCAGUAAGGGGUUGGAGCCACGUACCAGGGGCCUCUCCACAAAUGAGAAAGAAUAUAUGGCAAUUCUAUUACCUGUAGAACAGUGGUGUGCUUACUUGCAACAUGCUGAAUUUUUUAUACUGACAGACCACUGCAGUUCAUCUCAUCUUGGGGAUCAGUGCUUGCACACUCCCUGGCAACAAAUUUUUUUCACUAAAGUGUUGGAAUUGGAGCUUAAGAUUUAGUAUAAGAAAGGCAGUGAGAAUCGUGUAGCUGAUGCAUUAUCUCGCAUGCCACAUCCUGAUGCUGAACUACUGGCUGUAACUUGUCAACAUCUACUCUGGUUGCAGGAUGUAGUGACGACUUAUUAA